rnacentral:lncRNA from 1 species
GGAGGAGCUGCAAGCUUCACUGGCUCCUCUCCCUGUGGGCUCCAGCAGAAAGUGGGGAAGAGAGGACGGAAAACAGGGGAGGGGGGACGGCAGGGCUGUUUACCUGUCUGCCUCCUUCGCCCCCUCGCCCGGUUCUGUUCACUGCCGGUGUCAGCCUAUCCGCCUUCUCAAGCCCUCCCAUUUCCCCGGUGUGCCCCCCCUCACUUUCCUUCUCGUCCUCUGUGUUUCUCCUCUUUCUUCCCUUCCCCCUCCAGCAUUGCCACCUCUCCUACAAGCACGCAGGUACAUAAACGUAGGCUUUUGAUGCUCCUCUGCCUGUUGACCCCGCUAUUUUCAUGUUUCCAACAGGUUUUUCUUCCCCCAAUCCCUCUGCUGCUUCUGCUGCUGCUCAG